UCAGGCCCAGAGAGGAGGCUAAAACCCAGGAGUCGGCAACAGAGUAAAGAAGGAACAUUGGCACUAGUUAGAAGCGUGGAAAAUUAAAUACCGGUUUAAAGGCAGUUGGUACAUUGGGCCUCUUAGGAAGUAAAGAAGAUACAUCUCACAACCUUUGUUUGAGAUGAAUGAAUUCUCAAGCUGCUCAAUUUCAAUGAGCUGAAAGAUACAUUAUUUGUGGAAUAUGUUUAAGAAUUCCUAAGGGUGCAAGAUCAACAAGAACUGGCAUAAUUUAUUAUAUUCCAGCUGACAGAGUGAAGAAUAAAGACAAUUCUGUGUAAGGGUCACAUGAAAAAGGAAGUCAAGUGUAAAAGAAAUCGGAUCUUAUUUUUUCCUGAUCUCUAGCCAAACAUUCAGUUAAGAGGUGAACUUUUCUUCCAGCAAAGAAAUGUUGCUUGCCAGGAAUGUGGAGCGAGGACAUUAAAGUUCACAGAGAUUACGUGCUUUAACCAACCUGGGGCCAUAUCAUGAGAUGUAAAACCCGCUGGCAGCUAUUUAAAGAAAGGAAGAAUGGGAAAGGAGAUCCUGAAACACCUUCUCAGAAGUGGACCUGGGAAAACACGGUCUAAAAGAAAUCACGGAAUGGUUCCUUCCAAUUCUAAAGGCCUAUAAUUUUCCAAGGAAGAUCCAGUGGACAUCCUAAAUGCAGAUUAUAUUACAAGGCAAAUAUUUAGACAUGACCUUUUAAAAUCAUUAUGACUACUCAAACACGUCUUACUUUUCUUCCAAAAUAAAAAGUUCUUUUCUUGGAACUGUCUGCA
rnacentral:lncRNA from 1 species